rnacentral:rRNA from 1 species
AGUGAACGCUGGCGGUAGGCCUAACACAUGCAAGUCGAACGGCAGCACAGUAAGAGCUUGCUCUUACGGGUGGCGAGUGGCGGACGGGUGAGGAAUACAUCGGAAUCUACUUUUUCGUGGGGGAUAACGUAGGGAAACUUACGCUAAUACCGCAUACGACCUACGGGUGAAAGCAGGGGAUCUUCGGACCUUGCGCGAUUGAAUGAGCCGAUGUCGGAUUAGCUAGUUGGCGGGGUAAAGGCCCACCAAGGCGACGAUCCGUAGCUGGUCUGAGAGGAUGAUCAGCCACACUGGAACUGAGACACGGUCCAGACUCCUGCGGGAGGCAGCAGUGGGGAAUAUUGGACAAUGGGCGCAAGCCUGAUCCAGCCAUACCGCGUGGGUGAAGAAGGCCUUCGGGUUAUAAAGCCCUUUUGUUGGGAAAGAAAAGCAGCAGGUUAAUACCCCGCUGUUCUGACGGUACCCAAAGAAUAAGCACCGGCUAACUUCGUG